ACGGUUGACCUCGGAUCAGGUAGGAAUACCCGCUGAACUUAAGCAUAUCAAUAAGCGGAGG
rnacentral:rRNA from 1 species